rnacentral:tRNA from 1 species
GUGGGGUUGGCCGAGUUUCGAACGCGGACGGUCUUGAAAACCGUUAUCCGAAAAGGACUUGUGGGUCCGAGUCCCACGCCCUCCG